GGGUGGCGCGCAAAGGCCCGAGCGCGAGUGGUGCGAGUGGCGCGGGUGGCCCGGGAGCCGGGGAGCACGCCAGACUCCGCGCCCCAAGCCAACCUCUGGGAGAUAGGUGGCGGGGAGGGGAGGGUUGAGCCCACACCCGGGAGUUGCGUUGACUUCGCCGGGUGCUGCUGCUGACUUGGCCCUACCCUCAGGGCCAGGGGACCCGUCGCCUGAACACGCCCUCGGAGCGCGCGGCCCUUCUUUAAAUUCCUACCCAAUUCUGCAGGGGAACGCGGUUUACUCUGGCCUUACCAAUGGGGAAACUGAGACUCAGGAAAGAGCUUUACCCAAAGCCACCAACUAAUAAGCGGGAAUGCCAACUGGACCAAGGACCGGGUUGCACUGUCGCGGCUCUCGGCAGAGUCAGCAGAUGGGACGCACAGACCAGACGGGGUGCCAUCGGAGGACACGGUCGGGGCAAACAUCCCCUGACCUCCCCGCACCCUCCUUGCCCGGACUAGGAGCUCAGGACCGCUUCAAACCCAGCUGUCCCAAGCGCCGCCACCUGCCCCAGCCACCUGUGCUUCGGAAUUUCCAGGGACAGUUUGGGGACCACCGUCUUCCCUCUCUCCCCUCUCUCUUCCGGAGCUGGUGCCCCCUCCUCCUUCUCCCUUGUCAUUAAAAAACACUGGAAUGAAAAGUACACCGCCUCCUCCCCGCCUCCCCGCCGCAGGAACUACCUUUUAAACUCAGUUUCCAUAACUACAAAAUGGGAUAGGAUGAUUAACAAUACAAAAUAGAUGGUAUUAGGUGAAGACACACCACCAUCUACGUUUUGCGGACAAGGAAACUAGACCUCAUGGGAUCAUUGCCAUGUCACAUUGGAUAAUUUGUACCGAGUUUUCAAAAGCCACAAAACGCUGUUGCAGUUAGUGUUUGCCUGGCGAAGCUCCGCAAGUGAAAUUGGGUGUUUCAGGCCCGUGGGCUGCUUCAGGAUAGGAGCUCUCACCAAACAUCUUCAACUGGGGUGUGUGUGUGUGUGUGUGUGUGUGUGUGGGCACAUGAGUGCACAAGCUGUGGAAAUAGUGCAACUUAAAGCCCAGCUUCCCUAGCCCAUGGGAGCCCAUUCCUGUUUUUUCAUUUCCUUACCAUAUAUUUACCAUUGCUUGUAAAAUUAAUGAAUCUCUUAAAAGUUGGCCUCAGAACUGUAAGUUCCUUAAGGGCAAAAGUGGGUUAAAUUUUUUUUUUUGUAUACUUUAGUGUUUAUUUUCUUAAAUGAGUGGGUUAUAAAGAAUGUACAGCCGUGAUUCGUGAUGAUACAUGAUAAAGAUGUAUGGCAAAGAAUAUAAACAGUAUAAAAUGAAAA